ACUUGUUCAGAACAUGUAUAAAAGGACUACUUUUUACUAUGAAGAGUUAGACAACUCUGGACCGCCAUAGACUUGUCUCCUUGUUGCAAGCUGCAAGAAAUUAACUUUCUAAUAGGUGAUUCCAUCACCUCUGUGCACUACUUGAGAAAAGAUUUUCCUAACACAGGACAUUAUGAAGCUCCAAUGGAUACUUCUCCUAGGGGCCUGCGCGGUGGUGAGGGCAGCAAAUACACCCCCUCUUUACGACCGUUUUCUCCAGAACCACAUAAUAGAGAGACUGAACACUGACGACUGUUCUAGCGUCAUGCAAAACCUGAAGCUGAAUGAGACUGGUACUGAGAACUGCAUUUCUGACCACACGUUCAUAGUUCAUGACAUGUUGAGAUCUGUUUAUCUGAUCUGUAAUGAAUCUGGAAAUAUUGUCUCUAAGAAUAUAUACAAGAGCCAACAACUAUUCUUACUUGUUCAUUGUAGCCGAUCCAGUGGCACUCAAUACCCCAAUUGUUCAUACAGAGGUUCUGCAUCACGACGUGCAGUCAAAGUUUCUUGUGAACCGGGUCUUCAAAAAAACAGUAGCAUACUCUGGCCGACCCACCUUCUUAAUUAAUCAGUUGUACCAUUUUUAUUUCAGUAAGUGGACAAUACGCCACUGCCACUACACAAUUUGCCAUCAAAUGUGAUAUAAACUGGCCAGUACAAUUUAAAAGAAUUGGGUCCAAUAUGAUCAUUGUGUUAUUGGUGGAUUCCAUUUAAAGUAAUGAGUUCUUGUUUUCUUGAUUUGCUCUCACUUGUCACAAAUGCAUCUGACAAUUUUAAUUGUAACUAAAGUGUGAAAAUAUAUUAAAUAAAUGCUCCUGUGUGGCCAGCCUG